GAUGAACGCUGGCGGCGUGCCUAAUACAUGCAAGUCGAGCGAACAGAUGAUGCGCUUGCUCCUCUCACGUUAGCCGCGGACGGGUGAGUAACACGUGGAUAACCUACCUAUCAGACUGGGAUCACUUCGGGAAACCGGCGCUAAUACCGGAUAAUAUCUUGAACCGCAUGGUUGAAUAGUGAAUUACGGUGUUGCUGUCUCUUAUAGAUGGAUCCGCGCCGCAUUAGCUAGUUGGUAAGGUAAAGGCUUACCAAGGCAACGAUGCGUUUCCGACCUGAGAGAGUGAUCGGCGACACUGGAACUGGGACGCGGUCCAGACUACUACGAGAGGCAGCAGUAGGGAACCUGCCGCAAUGGGCGAAAGCUUGGCGGAGUAACGGGGCGUGAGUGAUAAAGGUCUCCGGAUCGUAAAACUCGGUUAUUAGGUAAGAACAAAUGUGUAAGUAACUAUGCACGUCUUGACGGUACCUAAUCAGAAAGCCACGGCUAACUACGUG
rnacentral:rRNA from 1 species